rnacentral:rRNA from 1 species
AGAGGUGGCGAGCGUUGUUCGGAAUUACUGGGCGUAAAGGGCGCGUAGGCGGUCUUGUAAGUCUCGUGUGAAAUCCCUCGGCUUAACUGAGGAACUGCACGGGAUACUGCAUGACUUGAGGUCGGGAGAGGGAAGCGGAAUUCCGGGUGUAGCGGUGAAAUGCGUACAUAUCCGGAGGAACACCGGUGGCGAAGGCGGCUUCCUGGACCGACUCUGACGCUGAGGCGCGAAAGCUAGGGGAGCAAACGGGAUUACAUACCCCGGUAGUCCUAACUGUAAACGAUGAUAACUAGAUGUGUGAGGUAUUGACCCCUUACGUGUCGAAGCUAACGCGAUAAGUUAUCCGCCUGGGGAGUACGGUCGCAAGAUUA